rnacentral:sRNA from 1 species
CCGUCCAAGGCUAAAUACGGGCG